CGUGACGUCACAGGUAGAGCCCGCCCCCAGCCGCCCAGGACUCCUGUUAUAGCCGCUGCUCGCUAGGGCCCCGGAAGCUGCCCCUCUCGGGGGUCAUGAUGGGCAGUAAGAUGGCGUCUGCCAGCAGGGUCGUUCAGGUAGUCAAGCCACAUACUCCAUUAAUAAGGUUCCCUGACAGAAGAGACAAUCCUAAACCCAAUGUGUCAGAAGUUCUGAGAUCAGCAGGACUACCAUCUCACUCUUCUUCAAUUUCACAGCAUUCUAAGGGAAGUAAAUCGCCAGACUGGCUGAUGCAUCAGGGCCCACCAGACACUGCAGAGAUAAUAAAAACUUUACCUCAGAAGUACAGAAGGAAACCUGUAUCUCAAGAAGAAAUUGAAUUUAUCCAACGUGGAGGUCCAGAAUAAUCCCUGACAAUGUGGCUGCUGUUUGUUUAAUCAGACAAAGAAGAGUCUUUACAAUGAAGGACUUCCAGAAUGACAAAUGAGAAAUUUUUCUGUUUAAAUGUGGAAAGAAUAUAUCCGGCAGAAUUGCAGCUUUCUGGAAUUAAUUUUCCUGGAAUUGGAUAAGGAUCAGUGAAAUAAUGACUCCAUUAUUUGUUUUUAAUUCUCUCAGUGUUUUUGCAUUCACAAAGUGACUGGAGAAUAACUGGCUCAAUAAGCAUAUCGUACUCUAAAUAAUAAAAAUACAGCCAUGGUAAAACAGAUGACUUUGUGGUAUUAAGACUAGGGAGUUAACACAAAAGAUUAUGUAACCUGUGUUGAGAAAAAAAUGUCACUGUAUAAAAUGGAAAAUGAGAGAUCAAAAUGAAUAUAGCAUAGGAAUAACAUUUGACCAGAAAUUUUAAGUUAUUAUGUUUUUAGGGGUGUUAAGAAAGUCUUGUUCUUUGGUUUAUUUUACUGUUUUGAUUGUGAUCAUGUGUACAAAUCCUGAUAAUCAUAAACUUUCUCAAACUUCAUUGUCCAAAAGCCUCAUAAAAUCAACCUAUUCACCUUAUUAAGGCAAUUUACAGAAUUUUAAUAGGCUCUUCCUGUGCCAAGGGUAUGUAUAAUUGUGAAAGUAAAGCCUCACAAAGUGAAAUAAAUUCUCUUCUAUACCUUUAA